rnacentral:tRNA from 1 species
CAAAAUGUAGCUUAACCAAAGCACCUGGCCUACACCCAGAAGAUCUCAGCAAGUACUGACCAUUUUGA